UCGAGGAAUGCAAGAAGUGGAAAGGC
rnacentral:piRNA from 1 species